AUGCCGUCACACCAGGCCUUCUCUGGGACACUGGGGUCAGACUGUCAAAAAUGUGACUCUGUUACUCUUCUGCCCCUCCAAUUGGACAAAGAAACUGAAGUUCAGAGAAGAAAAAUGAUUUGUCCUAGAUCAUGGAGCAAAUUAGUAGCAAGACACAGCUUCAAACCCAGUGAACAAGUGAGAAUGGGAAGAAAGAAAGAUAAAUUUCUUUUAAUUAACCUCAGUAAGGACAGCCAGUCAUAUGGGCCUACUACAAUUCAAGACUUCCAGGCUCAAGUCUUCCUAGAAUUACAGGUGCUCCAUCACACUUGGCUACAAUUUCCAGUCCUUUGACACCACAAAAAUAAUUUUUCCCCUUUUCUUUGUUCUCUUUGGGAUAUAGACCCAGUCAUGGUUUGACUAGAAUAAAGAUGCCAGUAUGCAUAGUUUUAUUAUCCUU
rnacentral:lncRNA from 1 species